UAAAUAAUGCAGGAAAAAUACCACGCGGGCCGGCAGCUCCCAGGCCGCUGUCCCCUGGCCACGCCCCAUGGACGUUCGCCCCUGGGCCGGAGCAAGCCACCUCCAUGGGGGGGCCCGGGAGCGGCCAGCCCGGGUGGAGGUGAGAGGGACAGUACAGUCACGUUUCCGCAGGUUCUCGCGUGCUGUCUGGGAGGGGUUGUGGGAUUUUUGGAAAACAAGUUUCCUGGACGGCCAGUGCUUCUGGAACUGCUGCCCCGGGCCAUGGCGGCUUUUCCCUAAAACAGGACGCUCUGAGUAGAAACCUGAGUUCACGGGCCCACGCCUGCUUACCAGUCGCUGCCCACCCUUUUAGCGAGGCUGGUGACCUGUCCGGCAGGGAGCAGGCGCAGGCGCGUGGUCCCCCAGGCCAGCAGCAGGCCGGGCGUGUGCAGCUCACCUGUGUUCUGGUGACCCGUCCUCUGGUUCCAGCUGGGGUGGUCCGGUACUGCGACCUCGGCUUCCUCGGUGUGUGACUGCAUGGCUCCAGGACCUGUCUUCAUUGUCACCUGGCCUUCUAUGUCCCCACGUGGCCUAGUGUCUGUGCAUUCUCUUAUGAGGACUGUCAUGCUAGAUGAAGGGCCACUGCUCUCCAGUGUGACCUCGUCUUCCCGGUUACAUCUGUACUGAUCCUGUGUCCCAGCUGGGCACACCUGAGCUUUGGGUGAGGACGUCCACGUACCUUCUGGAGGGAUACCGCCUGCUCCCUAAUGGAGGACCUCCCUGAAGUCUGAGCGGUGACCAGAGCUUCGUGGGGUGUGGCUGGGGGGCUGGGCAGUGCCAUCUCUGCAGGGGUCCAGGGAACGUGGGGCGGUGUGCAGAGAGCAGAGGUGGGGCUGACCGCCUAGGAGGAGACCCGGGGCCAGGACAGCUGCCUCCAGGCCCCGGCUCCAGUCACCCUGAGGCCUGCAGCAGUGCCAGCCUGCCUCCUGUGGCUCCAGGUCUGGGGCGGGUCCUUCCUUGUCCCACUCUUUCCCGUCUCUGCUGUCCCUCCAGGUUUCCCCGGGCUCCCCGCCCAGCGCCCGUCUAGAUCCACUACAAGGGCCUGGACUGUGAGCACUGGACUGUGUGCAGGGCCCACCACCCAUGCACACAGCUGCCCAGAGACGGACAGCUGUCCUGGGAGGCAGGCCCCGUGUUGCGGCUACGCCUCAGGCAGGUGGCGAGGUGGGAGGUGAGGGUCGGCUCACCCGUGAAGCUGCCUAGGUCUGGGCCCAGGCGGGGCCCUGCUCCUGGGCCCUCCGAGGAGGCCUGCGUGGUUGGUGACGCAGAUGUUCUCCCAGUGUGGGUGGGCUUCCUCCAUCCUGUCCAGGGUAACCAGCGGAGGACGGAGGCUUUACCCUUCCCCUCCUGCCUGCCCGAGCUGGGACGCCUGUGAGCUCAGGGGACCUGCCACUGGCCGGCCUGGCUCUCCAUCUGCCAACGGCAGGCGCUGGUGCCCCAGAAACCCCUCGCUCUCUCCAGUGGCUGUUUCUUGGAGAGCCCUGAUUUACAGAGGCGAAUGACGAAUCCAAGGUCACCAGGGUCUGGUCUGCAACCAGCGGUGGGGCCUCCUGGCCACCCCUCCCUCGUGUCCCCUCAGAGCCUCAGGACCUGCUGGGACCAGGAGGGGGCUGAGUGGGUCCGACAGGCUCCUCAACAGGGGAGGUGGGGCAGGAGAGCCAGGUGCAGAGUGGAGGGUGGGCAGAGGGAGGUGGAGGCCGGCACGCCCCUCUCCUCCCUGCCUCCCUCUCCUCUUUCUCGGUUCUAAUCUCAUCUUUUGGGAGGUGGCCAUGUUUCUCUUAUCAAAACCAACUUUGAAAAGAAGGAUCCUUUGUAGCCGACUGGUGAGACCCUCGCCUGCGGCCUGGAGGGAGGGCCCAGGGGCAAAGACUGAGAGGUGUUCCUGGAAGCCCAGAGCAGCUGCCAUCAGCCUCAGGGAACGUGGACCUGCAGGCGGGAGAGGAGUCUGCAGAAACCCGGAGCCGGACCUGCCCCAAGGGGGACCAGAGGAGAGGCCACGCCCGAGCCGGCCCCUGAGCUGCAGCCUCUGUGACCGGGAAGCAGAGUGGGCCAGACUGCUCCGGCUUCAGUCCUGCGCCAGCCACAGGGUGUUACCUGCGUUAUUUAAGCAAAACAAAGCGUGGGCUGUUUUCACGGCAGAGCAGUCCCUCUCUUCCUGGGCCUCCUUUCCUGUGAAUUAACAGAAACAAAUCGAAUCUGCCAGCCAGCCUGCUGCAUGGCUCACAGGAUCAUUCAGAUCCUCAUUCAAGGGGUGAAGUGGAUCAAUUUCUCCCUUUGUUCUUCUGCCCACAACCCGGCAGUCAGGAGGCUUUGAGUCCCGGAUGGACCAGGCACCAUGGCAGAAUUCAUUGAUAGAUCCGAGGGUGCCAACGCUGGGGGCCAGAGGGUCCCUGUCUCCCCAGGACCGUCCUUCCUGAUGGGUGGGUGCUCAGCAUUAACAGAGCUGCGCUGCCGUUGUAUGGUGACAUGCCGUACGUCAGGCCGAGCCUGGAGCCCAGUGAAAACUUGCAUUUACUCACACAAUUGGCAGUUUUGCAAAUGACCCUGGUGGGCGGAGCUUUACCAGGUCCUGAGCCCCGCAGGGGACAGUGCCAGGUGGGUGGGAGUGGCAGGGCUGGCCAGGGUCCUGAACCCACCAGUGCUUGCUCACUCUCCCCCUCUCCCCUGACCUGCAGGGUCCUCCCUGGGCCUCAUGUUCAGCCAUUCCCCUUCCCGGCCCCACCUAGGCCAUCCCCUAAGGUCAAGGGCACGUGAGGCUCUGGGGUCUCUAGGCCUGGAGCCAGUCCCGGGUCCCUCUCCCUCUCUACGUCCAGCCCUCAGGAACAGCUUCCCCUGGUCUUGAACACACACAGCCGCACACACAGGCAGCGCUGGACCCCAGGGCCAGGAGGGCGGCGUCCACCUCAGGCUGAGGUGGGCAGACCCAGCUCUCGGGGAUCACAUUCCCACACAGGCAGCCAGACUCUGCUGUUGUCAUGGAAAUCAGAGCGCCUCUCUGGCCUCUGUCCUUGUCUCCCUGCUGUCCCUUGCUGGCCUGUCCCCAGAGCUGUGCCACUCAAGUGUGGCCGUGGGAGGAGCUGCAAGAGAGAUGGCUCCAUCCAGGGCUGUGCUGGCAGACCCCAACUGCCCCAGGUGGUGGGCCUCGGUGGUGGAAGACACCAGAGUCUGAGAUGAGGCCUCGGGAUGCGGGGACUUGGUGCAGGAGACGCAGGGCCCACCACCAUGCACACAGCUGCCCAGAGACAAGGGCACGGCCUGCUGGUCACACACGUCUGUAUGGGCAAAGGCGCUGGACAGGCCCAGGACACAAAGCCUCUUUCCUGGAGUCCAGCCAGGCCAGUUUCCUUCGAGCCCAGCUGAACAGUGUUGACCGGGCCCCCAGGUUGGACGGGGCAAGUGGACUGUAGCGCUGCCCCAGGACUCCGGCUCCUGAUGGGAGCUGGCGUCUGCCCGUCCGCAGCUUCUGGUGGCUGCCCACAGUCCUGGUGUGGCUCCUUCCCCCAGCUCCAACCCAGGACGUGGCUCUGACCUCUCCGGCCUCCCUCCUCCACCGUGAAGGACCUGUGAUCACGCUGGCCACUUGGAUGAGCCAGGAGACUCUCCCUUCUCGGGGUCCACCAGAGGAGGCCCCUCUGCUUGGCGAGGCUGGGCACCCCCCCCACCACCACGGGGGUCUUCCCUGCGUCCCUCUAAGGAGGAAGCCGCUUCUCCUGGAGCACAGGGUUCUCGGCUUUCUCCAGGAGAAGACCUCAGGGUUCCCAGAGGGGCUGUUUCCGGUCACUCCUUCUGGCCACUGGUCAUGCAGGGAGGGGACGGCUGGAGAGGUGGUCGGCUGCUGGAGACCUUGGGUCCUGGUGUCAGAGCACCAUCGGAGGAGCAGGGUGUGGCGUGCACAGGUGACAGAACACCCUGGGCGCAGUCUUCUCACCAAAGCCAGGCUCUGACAUGCACGCGUCACGCUCCCACACGGGCCUGUGCCUGAGAGGACAGCCUGCUGCCUUCCGCCCGUCGGCCCUCUCCCCUGGACUGCUGUGCCCAGCUUCCCUCCCUGGCUAGACGGGAGGUUCCCUGGGGGUGCCGUCGAGGGCUCCCUCACCCUCCAUUUCCCGCUCACCUGCAUGCAGGCUCCAUCACCGUGCCCAGCCCCUUGUGGUCAUCUCAUCUCCCGAGGCCCCCUGCAGCUCAGUCCACCCGAGGUCUGUCCACUCUGAGGUUCACACCCUGUCUGCCUCAUCCCUCACCAAGGCCAGCAGCCUGGUGACGGCCCUGUCUUAGUCCCCAUGGCCCUGGGGAGCCCCCUCACACCCAGGGUCUCAGAGUCGGACAUCGACUAAGCCCCACUUCCCCAGUGAACCCGCUUCCCAUGUGACUGGGUGACAAAUCAUAUCUAGGACAGAGCCUGUUGCCUGUCAUCUAUGAUCUGGUGGUGCCUGUGUCACCUGUCACUCAAUCUGCAGUCACUCGAUGCUGGCAUCACCUGGACUCGCAGAUAGGGAGACUGAGACCUAGGGACACUCUGUGAGAGGCUCAGGCCCAGAGCCCGGAGGCCGUGGUGGGACUUGAACGCAGCCCGCCUGACUGGUGGCUUUUGGUGCCCACAGCUCCGCCCGGCCCUUAGGUGAGCACGCACGGAAAAUGUCUUCUUUAUUUUCUUGGCAGGGCAUCUUCUUAUUGCUGUUGCUUUUUAAUUUCCUGCUUUCUCUAAGGAAGCCUCUGUGCCUGUGGUCUGAGAAUGUCCCCUCACCCAGGGACAGUGGCCUUGACCGUUGGCGCCCCUCCGCCCUGCACACGCGCUUCCCCGGGUUUGCAGCCAAAACCCGGCGGCUGCCGUCCAGGAGGAUGGGCCUGGCCACGGUGCCGGCUCCCGCUCCACGGCGGGAAGCAGAUUUCCCAUUAAAAGGCAGAUCUUUAUUUCAAAAGGUUGAAUAGGAGGCAACUUAAAAAAGGAUUUCCAGCUGGUUAAAUUUAGGGCGCGCGCAGAGGUCCGCCGAGGAGCGGCUGGCGGUGCGCCUGCAGUCUUGACGGGCGCGCUGCUUUUCACUUUCAGGCCUGCCUCUCGGCGCUCUUCCCCUUUUGAGUUGGGCAAAUAAAUGCUGAUGGCGUGUCGGCCGGAGUGGCAGCGCCUGCUUACUCAAAA